rnacentral:rRNA from 1 species
GGGUUGUGAGGUUAAGCGACUAAGCGUACACGGUGGAUGCCCUGGCAGUCAGAGGCGAUGAAGGACGUGCUAAUCUGCGAUAAGCGUCGGUAAGGUGAUAUGAACCGUUAUAACCGGCGAUUUCCGAAUGGGGAAACCCAGUGUGUUUCGACACACUAUCAUUAACUGAAUCCAUAGGUUAAUGAGGCGAACCGGGGGAACUGAAACAUCUAAGUACCCCGAGGAAAAGAAAUCAACCGAGAUUCCCCCAGUAGCGGCGAGCGAACGGGGAGCAGCCCAGAGCCUGAAUCAGUGUGUGUGUUAGUGGAAGCGUCUGGAAAGGCGCGCGAUACAGGGUGACAGCCCCGUACACAAAAAUGCACAUACUGUGAGCUCGAUGAGUAGGGCGGGACACGUGGUAUCCUGUCUGAAUAUGGGGGGACCAUCCUCCAAGGCUAAAUACUCCUGACUGACCGAUAGUGAACCAGUACCGUGAGGGAAAGGCGAAAAGAACCCCGGCGAGGGGAGUGAAAAAGAACCUGAAACCGUGUACGUACAAGCAGUGGGAGCCUCUUAAUGGGGUGACUGCGUACCUUUUGUAUAAUGGGUCAGCGACUUAUAUUCUGUAGCAAGGUUAACCGAAUAGGGGAGCCGAAGGGAAACCGAGUCUUAACUGGGCGUUAAGUUGCAGGGUAUAGACCCGAAACCCGGUGAUCUAGCCAUGGGCAGGUUGAAGGUUGGGUAACACUAACUGGAGGACCGAACCGACUAAUGUUGAAAAAUUAGCGGAUGACUUGUGGCUGGGGGUGAAAGGCCAAUCAAACCGGGAGAUAGCUGGUUCUCCCCGAAAGCUAUUUAGGUAGCGCCUCGUGAAUUCAUCUCCGGGGGUAGAGCACUGUUUCGGCAAGGGGGUCAUCCCGACUUACCAACCCGAUGCAAACUGCGAAUACCGGAGAAUGUUAUCACGGGAGACACACGGCGGGUGCUAACGUCCGUCGUGAAGAGGGAAACAACCCAGACCGCCAGCUAAGGUCCCAAAGUCAUGGUUAAGUGGGAAACGAUGUGGGAAGGCCCAGACAGCCAGGAUGUUGGCUUAGAAGCAGCCAUCAUUUAAAGAAAGCGUAAUAGCUCACUGGUCGAGUCGGCCUGCGCGGAAGAUGUAACGGGGCUAAACCAUGCACCGAAGCUGCGGCAGCGACGUUAUGCGUUGUUGGGUAGGGGAGCGUUCUGUAAGCCUGUGAAGGUGUACUGUGAGGUAUGCUGGAGGUAUCAGAAGUGCGAAUGCUGACAUAAGUAACGAUAAAGCGGGUGAAAAGCCCGCUCGCCGGAAGACCAAGGGUUCCUGUCCAACGUUAAUCGGGGCAGGGUGAGUCGACCCCUAAGGCGAGGCCGAAAGGCGUAGUCGAUGGGAAACAGGUUAAUAUUCCUGUACUUGGUGUUACUGCGAAGGGGGGACGGAGAAGGCUAUGUUGGCCGGGCGACGGUUGUCCCGGUUUAAGCGUGUAGGCUGGUUUUCCAGGCAAAUCCGGAAAAUCAAGGCUGAGGCGUGAUGACGAGGCACUACGGUGCUGAAGCAACAAAUGCCCUGCUUCCAGGAAAAGCCUCUAAGCAUCAGGUAACAUCAAAUCGUACCCCAAACCGACACAGGUGGUCAGGUAGAGAAUACCAAGGCGCUUGAGAGAACUCGGGUGAAGGAACUAGGCAAAAUGGUGCCGUAACUUCGGGAGAAGGCACGCUGAUAUGUAGGUGAAGUCCCUUGCGGAUGGAGCUGAAAUCAGUCGAAGAUACCAGCUGGCUGCAACUGUUUAUUAAAAACACAGCACUGUGCAAACACGAAAGUGGACGUAUACGGUGUGACGCCUGCCCGGUGCCGGAAGGUUAAUUGAUGGGGUUAGCGGUAACGCGAAGCUCUUGAUCGAAGCCCCGGUAAACGGCGGCCGUAACUAUAACGGUCCUAAGGUAGCGAAAUUCCUUGUCGGGUAAGUUCCGACCUGCACGAAUGGCGUAAUGAUGGCCAGGCUGUCUCCACCCGAGACUCAGUGAAAUUGAACUCGCUGUGAAGAUGCAGUGUACCCGCGGCAAGACGGAAAGACCCCGUGAACCUUUACUAUAGCUUGACACUGAACAUUGAGCCUUGAUGUGUAGGAUAGGUGGGAGGCUUUGAAGUGUGGACGCCAGUCUGCAUGGAGCCGGCCUUGAAAUACCACCCUUUAAUGUUUGAUGUUCUAACGUUGGCCCCUGAUCGGGGUUGCGGACAGUGUCUGGUGGGUAGUUUGACUGGGGCGGUCUCCUCCUAAAGAGUAACGGAGGAGCACGAAGGUUGGCUAAUCCUGGUCGGACAUCAGGAGGUUAGUGCAAUGGCAUAAGCCAGCUUGACUGCGAGCGUGACGGCGCGAGCAGGUGCGAAAGCAGGUCAUAGUGAUCCGGUGGUUCUGAAUGGAAGGGCCAUCGCUCAACGGAUAAAAGGUACUCCGGGGAUAACAGGCUGAUACCGCCCAAGAGUUCAUAUCGACGGCGGUGUUUGGCACCUCGAUGUCGGCUCAUCACAUCCUGGGGCUGAAGUAGGUCCCAAGGGUAUGGCUGUUCGCCAUUUAAAGUGGUACGCGAGCUGGGUUUAGAACGUCGUGAGACAGUUCGGUCCCUAUCUGCCGUGGGCGCUGGAGAACUGAGGGGGGCUGCUCCUAGUACGAGAGGACCGGAGUGGACGCAUCACUGGUGUUCGGGUUGUCAUGCCAAUGGCACUGCCCGGUAGCUAAAUGCGGAAGAGAUAAGUGCUGAAAGCAUCUAAGCACGAAACUUGCCCCGAGAUGAGUUCUCCCUGACUCCUUGAGAGUCCUGAAGGAACGUUGAAGACGACGACGUUGAUAGGCCGGGUGUGUAAGCGCAGCGAUGCGUUGAGCUAACCGGUACUAAUGAACCGUGAGGCUUAACCUUACAACGCCGAAGGUGUUU